rnacentral:rRNA from 1 species
UACGUAGGGUGCAAGCGUUAAUCGGAAUUACUGGGCGUAAAGCGUGCGCAGGCGGUUAUGUAAGACAGAUGUGAAAUCCCCGGGCUCAACCUGGGAACUGCAUUUGUGACUGCAUAGCUAGAGUGCGGCAGAGGGGGAUGGAAUUCCGCGUGUAGCAGUGAAAUGCGUAGAUAUGCGGAGGAACACCGAUGGCGAAGGCAAUCCCCUGGGCCUGCACUGACGCUCAUGCACGAAAGCGUGGGGAGCAAACAGG